AAUAAAUAAAUAAAUAAUUCUCUUUAUAUUAUAAAUUUAAAGAAAAUUACUUUAUAAAUUGCUAUCCAGCUAUCCAGACAGCUAUUGCUGUCUUCCCACUCAAUCGAUUCUACUUUUAAUCGUUGACUUAAUCAAGAAUGUCUGUCUGUUUCUCUGCGUAUUACUGAGAAAUCACAAAGCCUCGAAAGAUGAACUUAAAAGUAAAUUAUAAACGAUUUUCUUAACCAGCGCAAGAAUGAAAAUGUUUUCACUCACUUAACAUCUCGUUCGAGCGACUCGAGCUAAAGGCAAGCUAGUUUUGAGCGCUAAGUUACUUUGAUUGCAUUUUCGAUCGAAUUUACAAAGUAAAGUAAAGAGUAAUAAGUAAGCAUUAAAAACGGCAAAUAUCACUUGAUGAUCUAUUGUUAUAGAUGCAUAGAUGUUCCUCCUAUGGCUAUGGAGAUAAACAGCUUUCAAGUCGCCAUAAAGAGCGCAAGUUAUAAUCAGACGACAAAUAAUUCUGAUUAAGGUUAUGGUCAAAAAAGGUUAAGCUUUCGAGUGGAAAUUUCAAAAGGACACUUAAUAACACAUAGUCUUACUAAGGCUGGAAACAUAAAUAAUUAUUAACUAUUUAGCUUCUUAUCUCGGUUAAAAUUGUAGUUAGUAAUGCCAUUGAUCAUAAUUUAGUUGAAUGUCAAUUUUGUACGCUUAAUAUCCGACGGCUAGCCAGAGAUUCGCCAGUCAGGAGUUAUAUUAUGGAUUUGUGAUGAUUGGGAGUUAAUCGAUUUUCAAAUAUGUUGCUAGAGCAAUGAUAGAGACAGUCGUCAUUCUCAUCAGAGCAGGGAAUACAUCCCUAGACGUAUAUCCAUUUAGCACUUGGAGACUAAUCAUAUUCGGGACAUUGAAUGUGUGUUUUCUUACCCCAUAUGCCAUCGAAGAUAGUGGGAUUAAGCCUUUAAGCCUUUAGUGCGCCGACAUAAAACACCUAGAGACAGCUGUCCUAUGCAUUAUUCCAUCAUAGGUUAUACUCGUUCGAAACCGUUCGAAUAUCAUACAACAUUUUCUUCGUCUUCUGCUUUAAAUUAUUGAUCAGUGGGCAGCUUAAUUAUUCACUUUGCCCACUUUUCGGUUCGAUAUAAAUCAACUUUGCCGGGAAAGAGCAAAUAAAUCAAGCACAGUGUUCGAAACGUCCGUCGCUUAGUUAAACUUUGUUUCGCUAACGGAUUUUUGUUUGUUUUCUUUUAUCCUAUAUUUGAUCAGCUAUUGGCCGGCGAUGGUCAGAAAAGAUUAUAGUUAGAAGACAAGGAAAAAUGAGAAUAAUGUGUGUAUAAUUGUCGUUUGGCCAGAAUGCUGCAAUGGAUUAAUGAAAAAACCUAACCGGAUCUUUUAGGAGCCACAAGCAAAAAACAAUUUCAAGGUAUAUUAGAUUUAUCGAAUCGUUUGUAACAUCGAUACACAUAGGCAAUAAAAAUUCGAUGAAAUCGGUGUAUACUUCAAGGACGAUGUUGGCAAAUCCAAAGAAGCUAUCGCUUACAAACUAAUAGAUAUAUUGACCUAAAAUUUUGCUGAAAUAUUAACUAAAAGUCUUCCAAUAAUUAAACCACCCCUUUGUUUAUAAAUACGUAUGUUUGUGUAUACCUAUAUAUAUAUAUAUAUACAUAUAUAUGUUUUUAAUAUAUCAAAUCAGUCAGGGGAUGUUGCCUAUUCGUGCAUCACGACGGUGACGACUAGAAAGAAAGAAGUGAAGAAGGAGAUAAGAAGUUGUUGAUAGCAGCAGAUAGUGAGUGACUAGUCAGUGGCCAAUCGAUCAGAGUUAUGCUUUUGCCGACUGAGCUUUCACUAUAGCUACGGCCUAAAUCAAAUCUAUCACAUUUGAGAUUUUAAUCCGUGAACAAUGACUUGCUAGUCACAAUUCUUACCUUACCUAUUUGGCUACUGAUACAGAUAUGUAGUAAGCUGAAGCUAAUGAAUAUCCAAUUGAAUGAAUCGAAUGAAACCAUUAAAUAUCAAAUAUUUAUCUUAAGGAGUGCAUAUGAAGUUUAUUCAAUUUUCAGUAAUCACACUGUAAUUAUAUCCGGAUUGGAAUCGUCUCGUAUAUAGGAUCGUAUGUGGGCUAGUUGCAAUAGUAUCUGAUUUGAUGAAUAGAUAGAUAGAUAGUUAUAUAUGCGAUCUGAUAUGAUUUAUACAAAAUGUUCCAUUAACAAUAUCAGGCUUAACUUCAAGACCUAUACGAUCUAGAAAGCAUAUCUUCUUGGGCUUAAUAAGCAUAAUUCACAAUAAUUAAAAUUCUAAAAAAAAAGGAAAAAAAAAAAAAAAAACAAUGAAAUCUUAUAAAAAGUUUAAAAUAUCUUCGCCGAUAACUGACAAAUAGUGACAAAUGCUAACAUCAAGCAGAUGCACAUAAGAUUUUUCCAUCAAGACGAUCCCCGCAACAAAAGCCCUUGAUACCAGAUAAGCUGAUAUUAAUAAGGAAAAGUAAAUACAAAGUAUUCUCACAUAUAAAUAAUUAAAAGCAAGAAGACAAAAAAAAAAAAAA